AUUGAACGCUGGCGGCAGGCCUAACACAUGCAAGUCGAACGGUAGCACAGAGAGCUUGCUCUCGGGUGACGAGUGGCGGACGGGUGAGUAAUGUCUGGGAAACUGCCCGAUGGAGGGGGAUAACUACUGGAAACGGUAGCUAAUACCGCAUAACGUCGCAAGACCAAAGUGGGGGACCUUCGGGCCUCACACCAUCGGAGGUGCCCAGAUGGGAUUAGCUAGUAGGUGGGGUAAUGGCUCACCUAGGCGACGAUCCCUAGCUGGUCUGAGAGGAGGGCCAGCACACUGGAACUGAGACACGGUCCAGACUCCUACGGGAGGCAGCAGUGGGGAAUAUUGCACAAUGGGCGCAAGCCUGAUGCAGCCAUGCCGCGUGUAUGAAGAAGGCCUUCGGGUUGUAAAGUACUUUCAGCGGGGAGGAAGGCGGUGAAGUUAAUAACUUCACCGAUUGACGUUACCCGCAGAAGAAGCACCGGCUAACUCCGUGCCAGCCGCCGCCGUAA
rnacentral:rRNA from 1 species